UACGACCAUAUCACAUAACAGCGUUUCUCGUACGAUCACCGAAGUUAAGCAACGUCGAGCCUGAUCAGUACCUAGAUGAGUAACUGUUUGGGAAUAUCAGCUACUGCAAG